GGAAACUAACUAGCGCUAGCUACGUUUGAAGCAACCGAAAGAAGGGUUUUCUAUUUUGGCUACUAGGCAACAUCGCAAAGGCCACAAACAUGUAUUUAUGUUCUUCAAUUGCCAAUGCUGGAACUGCUCCUCCCUGCGUUGCGUUGUUGGUAUUCUUUUACUUUUAGAUAGAUAGUCAAUAAUAUUAUUAUAGUUAAUGCUCCUUAUCAACUCGUCAUUCAAGUUGGACGCUGUCUCUGCUGCACUUGGGAGUAUCACCUCUGCUCAGCUGAAGGUAGCUAGGCCGGGCACUCGGUCUACUCCGACGACGGUGCUGGCUACAGUCGUGGCAUUUAAAGCAACGUUAACUAUAAUAGCCACUUGGUUUUCAGACAGCGUACAGUAGCUGGCUUCGACCACUGACAAAGAGUGACAUUGCUGUUUUCGCUAGAGCUAACGCUGCUUGCUAUUUAGCGUACAUCUUUUCAGAGGAAGACUUCGGAGGGAGAUAUGUAACUUGAUGCAGUACCAGGUGGCAUCCGGCGAUCCAGUUAACAUCCUAUCCAAGUGACCCGGGCCGAGCGGGUCGUGCGAGAGCAGGCUGGGGGAGCAGGCGCGCGGAGCAGCCAUGUUGGAGGAAGAUAUGGAGGUGGCCCUCAAGGUGGUGGUAGUGGGGAACGGGGCCGUGGGCAAGUCCAGCAUGAUCCAGCGCUACUGCAAAGGCAUCUUCACCCGCGACUACAAGAAGACCAUCGGCGUGGACUUCCUGGAGAGACAGAUACUGGUGAACGAUGAGGAGGUGAGGUUGAUGCUGUGGGACACGGCGGGACAGGAGGAGUUUGACGCCAUCACCAAGGCCUACUACCGCGGAGCCCAGGCGUGUGUGCUGGUGUUCUCCACCACAGACAGGGACUCGUUCCAGGCCAUCGGCAGCUGGAGAGAAAAGGUUGAGAUGGAGGUGGGGGUCAUCCCCACGGUCCUGGUGCAGAACAAGAUCGACCUGCUGGACGAGACUGUCAUCAAGAACGAGGAGGCCGAGGCUCUGGCCAAGCGGCUGAAGCUGCGCUUCUACCGGGCGUCUGUGAAGGAGGACCUCAAUGUUACUGAGGUUUUCAAAUACCUAGCAGAUAAAUAUCUUCAGAGACUAAAGCGACAAACGGCCGAGGAACCUGAAGUGGUUCACACGACGAGCAAUAAAAUAGGCGUCUUCAACACCACGAGUGGCCCCCUCUCCAGCCAGAGCUCCAGUAACGGGCGUGAGGUCAUAAGCCUGAGGCCCAACAAGCAGAGGACCAAGAGGAACAAGAACCCGUUUGGCAGCUGCAGCCUGCUGUAGCUCCACCUGCUGCUGGAGGUGAGGCUGCAGCCUGCUGUAGCUCCACCUGCUGCUGGAGGUGAGGCUGCAGCCUGCUGUAGCUCCACCUGCUGCUGGAGGUGAGGCUGCAGCCUGCUGUAGCUCCACCUGCUGCUGGAGGUGAGGCUGCAGCCUGCUGUAGCUCCACCUGCUGCUGGAGGUGAGGCUGCAGCCUGCUGUAGCUCCACCUGCUGCUGGAGGUGAGGCUGCAGCCUGCUGUAGCUCUACCUGCUGCUGGAGGUGAGGCUGCAGCCUGCUGUAGCUCCACCUGCUGCUGGAGGUGAGGCUGCAGCCUGCUGUAGCUCCACCUGCUGCUGGAGAAACCAGAGGCUGCACAAGAGAGAUGUCACCCCGCGUAGCCUGCUCUGACCAGCAGCCGCGUCACACGUCUGUGGUCGCGGCCGCCGUGAAACUGCACCGGAUCCUGCCCUUUCAACUCCCCCGCCCCCCCUAGUGGCUGCACCGCAGUACGACAACCCUACAGCAGCAACCGAAUGGGCCGAGUCCAUGGGAAUGUAGUUCGGGUUUGCCAUUAUUUCAGUUUCCCCCUCACAAACGCUGCAGGAUCAAGGUUACACUAAAAUCAUUAACUCAACACUUCUGUGUAUGCAUGCAUGGUCAUAUGUGAUUUCUACAGGUUAUCCAUGUGAGUUGACUGUUCAUCUGUGCAAUACUGUUUUGUUUUGUAACAUUUCUUUGCACCAUAUUUUUCUAAUGACUAGGCUAAUAGAAUAUGGUUCAACAUAGACUGUGGAUCAUGGAUAUGAAAAGAGAUGGGUAAAGUGGUCUUUUCUUUCAAAGGUAUUUUUAUAUGACUCUAAACAGUGUUUUAACAUUAGUUAUUUUUGUGCCAAAUAGUUAAUAAAUGUCACUUUAUUGUUGUAAGAAAUGUCAAUAUUUUUAAGAGAGACUGCAGUGGUUGGUUUGUAAUAUGGCAACUUCUUAAUAGAAUGUGAUCUUAUACGACCAAAUAUUACCGGAUAUUCGCACAAAACCCUCUCGAAAAGAGGUCUUAUAAAACGUUGAGUGUUUGUGGAGCGCGUGUCAGCAGUGAAAGUUCAAUUUCGUGAAAUACUCGUCUCUGAAUCUCUCUUUGAAACUAGCACAUAUUGUAAAUGCAGAGGUGCGUACUGGUAAAUGUCAUAAUAGCGGACCCACUUUUCUUUUUUUGUCGAUUUGAUAGCAUUGGAAAAAAAAAGUCUUGUUUACAUUUUCGUCCUUGCUGCAUUAGGUCAUACCUUUCAUUUGCUUAGCCUUCAUUGUGGUACGGUGGUUUUUGUAUAGGGAGGAUAUCCCUCGUGCUAAUCUUGCAUAAUAUGUCAUUCAGAUAGUGUUUUAAUUACGACUUGUGAACACUACAUAUUAUAAAUGUACUAAAAGUAUAUAUUUUAUGUUAAAGGAAAGAUUUAACAUUUCAGAUAUUUGUCUCUCGCAUGAAAGACUCCUUUCUUUGUGUCGAGCACCCGUCAGAGGUGUCCACUCCCUUCCUCACCGUAGUCUCUGAUCCUACAUGACUGAGUGGGUUAGCUCGUGCCUCGAAGACACAGCUGUUAACAAUCCAGUCGUGAGAUACCGGUAUCUCAACGUGAAGGAGGAAAGAGGGGUUUAAAUUCCUGCGGCCCUCUCUGCCCAGUGCUGGAAUGUGUCAGCGUGAUGCCUGGUCUUAUCGUCCGUCUCACCGCUGUGGUGCCUUGUCUGUCCAGGGCAUCAAGUGUCUGUUCAGAGUUUUGAGGAGAUCAUCAGGCGGAAAAAACACAAUGUAUAAUCUGUAAUAGUAGGGAAAGCACUUCAAACUCCACGUGAAGUGUCAGUGGUGUUCUGCCUCCAAUUUUGCAACGUUUGUAUGAAGUGAUUAUCUACGUUCUGGGGAAAUCACCACGUAGACGGGUGAAGUGUCGGCCAUGUUUUGAUUUUGAUUUUUGCUACUGUAGGUGUUACCGUGUGUUUUGUUGCCUGGGUUUGCUCUUAGCUCUGCACGGAUAAACAGGAGCCCUUGUCUCGUCUCCAUGACAUGACAUCCCAAGUUGGUUGGUAUUACAACUGUAUUUAUCGUGACAGUGUAAUUAGACAUCAACACGGGCCUUUAUCAAUAACCCAAGGGUCCCUGUAUUAAAGGAUCAUUCUACUGUAUACUGGUGCCUGUGUUAGUGUUUGGAUAUCAGUGGUGUAUAGAUAGGUACAUGCAUGCCUAAUGGUAGUUCGGUUUUUCUGCGAGUGAAUGAAUGUAGAACCACGAUGCCUUGUCCUGUGUGCUCACCAGCGCUCGUCUCUGCUCGCCCAAGGGUCCCUGUUGAAAACACAUACCGCUAACAGAACGUCAGCCUUUGGUGGUUUAGUCGUUCAACAUUAAGUUACUUUGUUCCGCUAAAACGGAUUCAAGGCACUUUAACAAUCAGACGACACCUCGUACGGUGUCUCCUGAAGAAAAAAAAUAACAUUUUACAAUUAAGUGCAGUCUUGGGUGUUGAAUGCUUUGCUGUAAAACCCGUUCUGUAACAAUGUUACACGUGCUACAUGUUGAUUUCGACACAGCGUAGUGUUGGUCUUGGCCUCUUGAUUUGCUUGUUUUGUUCUCAAUCCAUCCUAAAUGUACUUUCCAACCAGCUGGGGGCGUAACAGAGAUCCUAACACGUGGGGCGUUAUUGGAAACAAAGUGUUUAAUUGGUGAUUUAUAACAUAAAAUUAAAAAACUCUUCUUUGAUUGUU